rnacentral:lncRNA from 1 species
AUGUAUUACAUGCAUUUCCACAAAUAUGCCUGUAUGUGAGAUAAAGAUAGGAAAAUGUCAACUAAGAGUGAUGUAAGUACUGGUUGCAAUUGCAGGUGAUUGACUUUUAUUCUUGAGUCUGUUUUCCUUUUUCAUGUUUUUCGCAAUGGAUGCAUAUUGUCUCUGUACUACUAAAAAGGGUUACCACAGGGACUGGUACGCCUUAAAUAUAACUUCUGGAACUGGACCUGGACAUGCCAACGCUGCCUCUCACCAGCUGCAGGACUUUGAGUAAAUGAAAUUGAACUACCCUCUUCCCAGCAGGUGUUCUCACUUGAUACACGCGGGUAAUAAAUUUCUUACUGGUUAGGGUUAAAUGGCACCAUAUGUAGGGUCUCAGGCACACUCAGUAGGGAUUCCUUGAUUAGGGAACCGAGCUCUGAGCUCAACCCUGGAUCCAAGGCAGUGUUUGAGAUCUCAGUGCCUCAGGGGCUCUCCCUGCUCUAACCCACGACCCUGACCUACAAUCCCGCCGGGGAGGGAGCCGCUGCCUCCUCUUGCCUUCGCACCUCGGUGGCUGGGGUGACUCGUUCUCCCCGGCGGCCUCUUGAGGAUGAGGUGCAGUCUCUUCCCAGGCUCCACGAGUUUUCGGGGCUCAAAGAAACACCAGCAGCGUCCCGGGAGGAGAAAGAGGGUCCCCCGUCCUUUGGGGCCGCGCGGGACCCGGCUGCGGGGGCUGGACUCCCCGCUACCCAUUUCCGAAAAGUCGCCGCAGAUUUUCGGCCACCAGAAGCCGCCUAGUGCAAGGCAAGCGUCGGAGUUUGGAGAGGCCUGGGCGGGUGUGACCGGGUGGUGCAGAGGCUUCUCAAGAAAGGGGCAGCUUUUUUGCGGGGGGUGUGUGUGUGGGGGAAGCUUUCGUCCGAAAUUUAGCUCCGCUGGGGCUUGGGAUAUUUGCUUUUCCUCCCCAACGUCUGCUUUAUUCUCUUCCAAAGAGCAUGUUCUGUUGCCGGAUUCUGGGCAUUUUCCGACCUCCUCAAAAAGGAUAUGCCGGGAAAGGAACAUGCAGAUAGUUUAA